GGGUGGCACAUUGAAUGAGGGAACACUGCCUGGGGAGAGGCAGUAUGGGAGGGGGAAGUGGCUCCACAGUCUGAGGGGCCUCAGAAGUAGUGGGCCCAGAUGCUCAGAUUUACUCAGAAUUUAUAGGGUUACAACACAAUGCCAUCUCCUCUGUCCCAUCAUCUGAGGGUUUGUCUAUUUCUUUAUCUCGUCCUAUCCUUCUUCCUCUUUCAUCUUUCCCGUCCUUUAUUUUCUCUGCUUUUGUAUCCUGGCCUUCCUCUAGCCUCCUUAAUCUUUCCUAAUGCUUCUGAGUUGAACAUGAAAUGUUAUAUUUCUUUAUCUUGUAGUAUUCCUUAGGUUUGCCAUUUCUCAGUUGAGUCAGAUUUCGUUAUAAUAUUCCUUGGGUAUCAACAUUCAGUCUAUAAUAUUUCUUCGUCAAGGUUAUAACGUGUAAGUUUCGAGAUUUCUCUCAUGGAAUUUUGGACACCCAAACUUCUUCCUAAAAGGCCCGUAUAUAGAAAGCUAUUCGGGGAGGGGGAUUCCUCUACUCGUUGUGGGAGAUGAGAUUCAGUGGCUAAUUCUCAGAGUAGUAUGUGGCAUGUAACGCCAAUCCAAGACCCCUUAGUGUUACUAGUCCUUAGAUUAAAACUGUCUGCCUCCUGGGAAAUUAGAACCGGAUACCCCCAACACUACAAUCCCUGGCAAAAACUACAAUUCCGAGAACAGAACCCCACUCCCUUCUUGUCGUUAAGUGCUAACACAGAACGUAAAUUGGGUGGAAUUCCCUGUCUAGCUCUCUUUUCCUUCCUGUCAGCAGCUUUGGUGGAUCGAGCAUUUUGAGCAGGUAGAAAACUUAGUCAUGUGGCUCUAUUUUGUCAGAUAACAAACUUCAUAAAAGAAUAUCUGAACUAUUGGACAAUGAUUUAACUCUUACCCCCCCCCCCCAACUCCAUAAAAUGUCUAGUUUUCCUAUUUUCAAAAACCUUGAGAAGAGUUUAUCUGUGCCAAACUAUGAGAUAACCGAAGGAGGGAAAGUACAGGGAGUUUCAGAAGUAUCCUUAUGGGUCCCAGCCAGGGAAUCCCAUGACAGUCAUGGGUUUUUCUGGAAAAUGGGGGACUUUCGGGGUACAUCAUGUUGAAAAUCACACACUCGAGACUAUAAACAUCCCAACCACCCCUUCUGUGGGAUUGGCAGAGGGGAGGAGGGGAAUCUUGGGUCAGGGUUAUGAUAAAAGUCUGUGAUUGUACAUAGAAGAAGAGAGGUCAUUUUUGCCUCGAGCAGGCCCCUUGUGAGGGCAGAAUUCCUUUUCCUCCCUUCCCACCUCCUCCCUGCUGUCCACUAUUUUCUCCCAAUGAAGCCACUUUUCUCUGCCAGCAUCUUAUCACGUCUCCUGUCUGCUCAUUAGAGUGAUUUGGGGGGGGGGUAUGAGCCCCCCCUUGAAUUUCACUCCACACAUCUUCAAAAGGAGAGAUUGAUACCUCCUAGCAGAAGGCAACUAGUUUUACUAAUUUUCUAUAGGAAAUUGCCAUUCUGUGCUCUUCUACUAAUACUACAUCAAUGUAUACUGGGGAAUAAUGCACAAUUUCAUGUCACGCACAAGUAAAUUGAGAAAGAAAAGGAAAAGUGUUUUGUCUGGCUGCUUCUAAGGAAGCACUAAUCAAAAAGGGGAUUGGAUGGAGGAAGAAAAUGUCUCUGCUGUUUCUUGUGAGGAGAUAGGCCUCUUUUCUCUCUCCCCUGAAGGGCUUAGCUGAACUAAUCUAUAUAAGAGAGUUACAAGGAUAAUUGAUCCAAAAUUAUCACUACUACUAUUAAUCCUAAUAUGAACUUUUAAAGAUGGGAUUGACUCACCCCUUGCCUACUUUUAAAUUUAAUCAACAAAAGCUUGAACACCCAUACUUGGCACUAGGUGGUGGAGCUAGUAAGUCACUUAGAGAGUUCCAUCCUUUCAACUCAAUCAGCCAGAAACUUGUGAAUCCUUUGUGAUGGGUUUACACCCUCAUAGGAAGAGAGGUGUAGCUUACACACACCACCCUCCUGGGCAGUGUUAAGCAAACUUAAAGACUGCAAUUGGUCCCUGUAAGGUGGAGGAAGGGACAGGAAAUUUUGUAAAGAACAAUCCAUAAAAAGGACCUAAUCUUCCUAUCAGGAAGUCUUUGAAGUCUUCCACCUGAAUCUGGAGUGUGGAGGAGCUUGGACUUCUUCUGAGGGCUUCAUCCUGAAUUUUCAGGUUGGAGGAUCUUCUCCUUUGGGACUUCACUUUGAGACUUUGGUCUUCAGCUUCAAUUGGACUUGGAACUCUGACAUCUUGAACUGUUUCUGGUGCAUACAAAAUUUCACCUUCUAAGAGGAAUCUACAAUAGUUAGAGAUAAGAGGGAAAUAGAAGAGAGAAAGUAAAACCGAUAUUUUGCUGGCCGCAUUGACAAAAACCAAUUGGGGGCAGUCCCCUUUUGGCAUAAGAGUGUACAUUCAAAAUAAAUGUUCAACCCCCUUCAGUUCAAUCAACUGCACCCCAAAAUUCAUUCUGGAUCUUCUUGCUGCAUUGUAGGUUUUGCAAGCAUCUUUUUGCAAACAGUUCAUUCUCUGGAUUUUAAAGAGUUCUUUCCCUGAAAACUUUUUUCUCGAACAAAAUUUUAAAUCUUGGUUUUUGUGAAAAUACAAUUCCUCCUGAAGAGGGUGUUGACAAACACCCAGUUCAGCUCAGGAUGCAUGGUUGAGUUCUGGGGUAUAUGAAUCAAUUAUCAAAAGAAAUAAAAGAAAAACAAAUGGAAAAAAAUUAAACUUUUUUGGAAGAAAUGAAAUUCAAAAUCAAAAUCAAAAUAUAAAAAAAAUCUAUGUAUAAUGUAAAGAUUAAAAUUUAGGGAAACUGAGGCAGGUAGAAAUUAGUUUCCCUCUGCAAGGAAUAUUAUAUUUUUAUGAGGUUUAUUAAAGGUUGAGAAUUUAAGAAAAAUACAAAUAAAAAAGGUACGUGCUAGGUGGACCGAGAGGCCCAAUUCAAUUUCACUCACAUCAUGAGAGAUGUCUGCUUGGGAGCAGAAGUAGGAAAAAGGGAAGAGAGACCCCGCCUAUGGUGGAGACCCUUUAAAUCAUAGUUUAGGUGAGAAUUCAGUAAGAUUACAAAGCAUUCUGGGGAAGUGGAGCAAGGACUUCUGGGGAUUGAAGUCCUGGAUUCAAGUCUCCAUUUUUACAAUAUAAAACUUUGAGUAAACAAGAAUAAAUUCACAAUAGGCCCUUGUAUUAGGGUCCAAUUAAAGUAAUUUCUAUCCCACAAGCCUGUAAGGCAAAAUGCAGGAAUAUUUCACUUGCCCAUUUGCAUCCAAGGCUAUGAGAAGUUGCCAUACUAUAAGAGAGAAAAAAGGACUAAAUUUUUGUGUGAUAGGGAAGUGUCAUUCCCUGGUCUGAUUUUACCUUCACUCUCAGGGAUAGGGGGAGCCAGGAUGAUAGCCAAACUCCGGUACUUGUCUGUGAGUAUUUCACAAAGAGUGUAGUACAAACUGUGUCCUACAUCUUAACAUGUCAAGCGCAGCAGCCUCGAAUCUCACACUGGCUGUUUAAUAAAUAUAGGGGUUUAAUAAAAUAAGUGUAAAGUAUAUAACAACUUAAUUCCAACUUAGAAGCAGAAGAUGUGAUGUAAUUUGGAGAAAAUUCUGUGUGAUCUAAAUGUGGGUUGACAAAUGAGAAUGUAAAAAUUUAUUUUAGAAUAGGUGCUGUUGAAUUAAACAAGUGAAAAUUUAAUGAACAUUGGGGAAAAAAGUUUUAAAACUUGUAAGUUUGAAGUGAUAUGGAACCUGUAAAAAGUUUUGUUAAAAGAAUUUCUAAAUUUGUAACUGAUUGGGAUGUAUGAAUUGUUUCCAAUGUAUGUACCUUGGGUAAAAAUGAUUUUAUUACUGAAUUCAAAUAUGAAUUUAAACGUAAUCUAUUUGACUGUGGGAUGUAAUUUUAGGUAAACACAAAUGAUUUAUUAUUUUGUACUAUGAACUAAACUAAUCUUUGAGGUGAAUUGGAUAAGACAAUAUGUAAAGAUAUAUAUAAAUGAUGAUAAAAUUGAUAAAGGGAUUAAUAAAAACAGGUAACAGGAUAUCUGGUGGAAGAUGAGAGAAAUAUAGAAGCAUAUUAAAGACAAGGUGUAGGAGGUGUAAUACUGAAAGUUAAUAUUUAGAAAUUGAUUUGUGUAAUGACUAUUUGUGGAUGGUAUUAGUUGGUCUUGAGGAGGCUAUUGUUUGUGAGCAGAUGAGGUGAUGAAAGAUAAAAGUCUAGAUGGAGUGACUCCUACAGUGCUCUCUCUCACUCUUCCUGGGGUUAUAUAAAGGGUAUAACUCAGGAAAUUGUAAUUCCACUGUUAUAAGUAAGCAAUGGAAAGUUGAAGAGAAGUCUCCCCUAUUGGGUGAUGGAAAGGGUACCCCCAAAUUCCCAAGCAUGGGUAGCCAAGAAGACAAGCCUCUUCCUUGUCUGCUGACUCAGUGGGGAAGGGGUCUUGACCAGCACUUGCAAUGGCUGAUCAGUACCUUGGAGCAUAGCUCCCUCAAAGCUCCUUUGAAUAAAUCCCCUUUUUGUAAUAUCUUACUGCAAUCGAACAGUUUAACAAAAUACUGGAUAUUAGGAAGUGGGGGGUUGGUUUGAGGGUAGCGGUGUCCCUAACUUCUAAGUCCCUUCGAGGUCCUUCAUUCUGUAAGCUUCAGAGCCACAUCAGAACUUCUUCUCACCUCCCAACUAAUUCAAGCUAAAUUAAAAUACUAAAGGGGUCAGGAUAAAGGUAAGGCAAGUGCAAUUAGGAUAAGAGAGUCCCAGGUCCCUCACAGAUCCGAUGAGACCUGAAUCUCUUUGUUGAUGUUAUUAGAGAUAUCAGGAUGUAGCAACAUGCUUCUGGAGAAGUCACAGGGCUAUUUUCUUGGAUGUCCUUCAGUUGGCUCUUGACAAAUCUCUAGCAAGGUAAAUCGCUUCCUUUCACCUUGAGAUCUAAUCUCAAAAAUCAGACUUCCUCUCGGAGUUCUCCCAGGUCCCCAUUCUUCUCCCAUGAUCCUCUUCUUCCAACGUUCUUUGGCCGUCAAUCAUGCCUUCUUCCAAAGUUCCAUCCUUACUUUUGCAUCCUGCACUUACACCCUCCCAAGGAAGGGGAGGGAUUUUGUCAGUCAGCUUCUAAAGCUUAUAAAAUAAGUGUCUUCGCAUUUAGGCACAGAGGGUUCUGAAAUCCUCUGGCCAUGUGUGCAGAAAAUACCACUGAUUGGGGGCAGCUGGGUAGUUCAGUGGAUUGAGAGUCAGGCCUAGAGAUGGGAGAUCCUAGGUUCAAAUCUGGCCUCAGACACUUCCCAGCUGUGUGACCCUGGGCAAGUCACUUGACCCCCAUUGCCUACCCUUACCACUCUUCUGCCUUGGAGCCAAUACACAGUAUUGACUCCAAGAAGGAAGGUAAGGGUUUAAAAAAAAUCAUGCGGCAGUGGCCACACCUCAGGCCGGCUAAACCUUGUGAGGGUAGCCAUCAGGUCGUAGACCCCUGGUGAACUAAGGCUUUGCUCACCCAGCAUGUGAAGACUGUUUCGGCUUCAUAAACCUUAUUCAAGUUCUGGUUCUGGGGCACAUCUGUUCUCCUGCCGUGAACAAUAUUCUCCUGAGGAACUGGGGUGUUCUGGUCUUGAGGGGAGCAUUCCUACUCAUCCUCACUCUGCUUCUGGAGGACUUUCCAUUUCUCCCUCAGAGCCAUUCAUGGGGUGACUAGUUAAUUCAAUCACUAUUCCAGUUCUCCAGUUCAGUGGUGCUACCCUCUCUGGGCAUCACUUCACCACUUCACUUAAGACAGGUGGGAUGGCAGGAGGAGGCAGGAUUUCAAGUGGAAUCCAUAACUUUUCUCUCUCUGUAUAGAAUUCUGAAUUCUUCUCCUCCUCCUCCUGCAUGUCUGUCCCUUCCACUGCUUCUGCAGUUUUAUUCUUGUUUCUUCUUGCUCUAUUUGUUUUGUUCCAAAGCAUAAUCUCGAAUUGUCCACAAAAUCCAGAAUUUCUAUUAAACUCUAAAAACUUCCAUCCUUUCACAGACUGCUCUCUGGCACAAUCUAUUCCUUUUCUUGGCCAACUGCCCAGAAACAUAUCCUUUCCUCUUGCUUUUCUUAGAAAAAAGGCUUUAUUGGGUUUCCCAGGAGUCACCCUGAGAACUGCCCCUAAGCAUGACCCCCCCCCAGAUUUCCAAUAAGAUCACAGCUCAGAUUCAAUCAUCAUACUUGCUAGAUCUCCAACCCAGCUGCUCAAAGCAGAGGGGUCUCCCCUCCAAGACACAAACAGCUCAGAUUACAUAAUCAUAUUUGCUAUCUGAUAGGAACCUAGAAGAGACUGGAGAUUUCUCUUUCCGUGGGUUUUUUUACUACAGACUUUACCUGAAAGGCUCCUCUCCACCCAGGGUACUCAACUUCCUUAUCUUGAGGAAUCUUUUUGGCCUGAUUCCCUUAACUGGAAGCUCUCUCUCUCUGACUUAUCUGUUUCUUAAAGUCACCCACGUUUACAAGCACUGCACUGCUUUCGACUUAGCCACUUUUCUCUAACUUUCACACAAGCUUAAAGAAAGUGGGGCGCACCUCCCCACUCUCCCUGAUACUCAAAUAAAUGGUCUCCGUGGAUGUUGGUUCGAAUCUUUUCUCUUGCUUCUAUUGGUCCUUAUCUACUCUUUCGUUCAUAUGAUUUCUCAGAAGUGUAGAGAAGGCUUCAGAUUUGCCCAGAUGAGGCACUUCGAUUGUUCGAGAAUCCCAGACAAGCUGAGAUCUGUGUGGAGUGGGUUUUGGGGGGGAUAGCACCCCCAGAAAUCACUCUAAUGAGUAGACAGAAGAUUCUGAUAAGAUGGUGCCAGGGUGCAGCCUUUAGUAAAGAAAGAGCAGACAGCAAGGGGCAUCGCCAAUUUUUACCUCUAUCAUGUCCACUGGCUUACAAGAAGAAUCCGUAGAUUCUAGGAAGUCUAUACAAUGGUACCCUGACUAAUCAUCUGUGUUUCUUAUUUGACACACUCCUUAUUCCUUUUCAGUUCCCAGCUAGUUGAGUCAGGUUUCGGGAACGUACAAGGCCAGAGCCACGGUCUUCCUAACAAUUUUAUGGAAAGAAGUUUUAUUCUCAUGGGAGAUUCUCUUACCAUAGAUUUAGGUUUACGGGCUUCAUUUUCUUAACCCUUGAAAUGCUGAUUGCAAGUGUAAUAAGGGAAUUCACUUUGCACCUUCCCUUGCUACACAAGUCAAUUGAGAAAGAAAAAAAAAAGGAAAGGGAUUUGUCUGGCCUCUUUUAAAGAAGUACUGAUCAAAAAGGAGAUUGGAUCAGGGAAGGGUCUCUUCACUUCAGGGAGAGGAUGUCUCUAUUGUUUGUUAUUAGAGAUAGGCUUCCUUUUUCUCUUACCCAAAGGGUCUAGCUGAGCUAUUCUAUAUAGGAGAGUUACAGGGAUAAUUGAUCUAAAAUGAUCAUUACUACUAUCAAUCCUAAUGUGAAUCAUUAUUGUGAAAAAUGCACUACUGAUUUUUUUUUACUCCAUUACAGUGCUUUUGGCUCCCAGUUUCCCUUUCUCUUAUCCUUGCCUCAAGCCACUUUGGCCUAAGGCUAAAUUUGUUGGGUCAGUUUAAAAUGUUCGGGGUUUCCUUACAUUUAAAGCUCUGCCUUUUCCCCAUUAUUUCUUGUCAUUCACACCAAUCCAGUGACCAGUCAGGUCUGCAGUUGACCAUCCUAAAAUGAACUUUCUUCACUCCAGAACUCACACAUCUUGCUAUUGGAAAAUGAUUAACAGCUUGAAAAAGUGAAGUGAGAGCCCUCAAAUAAUCUGGUUAGUACCUAGAAUAAAAUGCACCUUGUUACUAAUAUCAACUGCGCUUGAUACCCAAUAUUUCACCCAUUAACAAGACCAAAACUUUGGGAAGAAAAAUGAGACCUUAAAGUUAAGAAUUUCUGGACCUCCUUUUGCCUCCUGCUGGAUCGCCAGCUCUGGUCUCGCCUCUUCAGCUUUUGGGAGGAAUCCAUUAACACAACUUACAGACAUUAUUUGCUAACAUUUAAAUCACCAGCAUUUGAUUAUUAGCGAAGUCUCCGCCUAAGGAAUCCAUUAGACAUAAAAUACAAGCAAAAGCCCACAGAAAAAUGAGAAGAAAUCCAGAACUCAAGUUCUUAAGCUUCUAUGAGAAACUUUUUGCAAAACUUUGUAACCAUUUAAACCUCAAGCCAUUGUAUCUCAAUUCAUGAAGAAACUUUCUCUCUUUUAGUCAACUUAAAGCAGUUACUCAGACCCUCAAUUGAACACUCAGGCUGUCACACUCCAACUCGAGUUUCCCAUUCAAAGCUUUCAGGCAGCCUUUCACUCGUCUGACCAGCUCUCCUGGCCCUCACCUCUCUCUGGUUCUUCCCAGUCUCCCGUUCUGGACCGUUCUGACCUGGUUUUUCUUCGGGUGCAUUCCUCCAGCCUUUGGUUGAAGACUUCUUCAAUCUCGUGACCUGCUUUGCUUAAAACAAACUGCAGAAACAAUUAUCUUUUCCUCAUUAAAUGAACCCCACCUUGGCCAGCUUCCCUUUGGAUUGGCCUUUGUCAUCGCUUGCCGCUUCUCUAAGUACUUGUUUGCAUCAGGUCCAUACUUCCAAACCCUGUAACUCGAGGCCGUACUUCUAGGUGGUUCUUUGGGCUGCUGACCGCCCUCACCAAAUUUUGGGACAGCAGACAAGCUGUUACCCAUGUCCAAUAGCGCCCGGGUGGCUAUGGACCAUGCGGCUGUGUACCCCACAGACGCUCAACUAAGGAUCCCUUAAUUAAAGAGCGAGUUACCCCCAAACACGAGAUGCGAGUCCUACCUCCGAGAGAGCCACUUACCUGGCCCUGCUAACUGGACUCCCAACCCAACCCCAAACGGGUUGUGUGAGGUACCUCAAGUCUGGGGUCCUUGUCAGCAGGUGGGCUCAGACAGCGGGGACUUCGGAUCUCGCUGGGGCCUCCAUUAAUGUCAACUAGAAAAAACACAGAACUAUUAAAUAGUCAAAAAUCACUCUUUAAUCAAGGGAAAAGGGGUUAGUGCUACUAAUGUGACAACAGAGCUGUUUUCCAAGACUGCACAGAGUCAAGACGCCCUGGUCACCAGCCCCUGGGAGUGCCACCGACUCAGGAAGGACUCCGAGGAACAAAAGAAAUUGGGGAACCUAUAUACCACUCUAGAUGACCUGGGGGGUUAGGAUUAGAGGGACAGUUGAUUGACUUUACAAUGGUAAGAAAGGAAAAUGAAGAGUUCCAGACAGGAAUAACAGAGCGAGGGGCUGAUGCCCCACAAUGGACACAAAAGGGAAAGACUCAGCCCAGGGCUGGGUCACCUUGGUCAUGGACCUUAGCCUAAGGGGAGAAACCAUUGGGACAAAAGGGAUGUUCAAUAUUGGAUGGGAUUAGCUGUUCCCACCCAAACUACCAGGAAGUUCACUGUCUGAUGAAGAGGGGCCUUCCCUCAGGGGGAAACUCUCCUGUGACAAGGUCAAAACCUGGGGCUUCUACACUCAAACUAAAUAAACUGGGGAUCCCUAGAUUUCCAUGUUGACAAUAGCAUCAUAGCAACUGAGGUUCCAAGUUCUAUCACUAACACUGUAAUUGGAUAGAAGGAAACUUUAAUACUGAGAUAUAAUAAGCAUGAAUUGGAAUAUGAUUUAAAGGAAUUACUUAUGCUUUCUAAUUUUAACUAUGAAGGAAUUAUUAACACUUUUCUAAGCAGGACAUAAAGCAACAAGAUAAAUAUUGAGCAGAGAUUAUGUAAACAGCCUGUCUGCAGUUCAGAAACUUUUUAGUAGGCAUAUUACUAUACCUGUAUCCAGAAAGCAAAUGAUUUAUAACUAGACUAGCUUUUACUAUGGAAAAAUAAGACAUGUGCUCAGCAGAGUGAAAGCAUGGUUAGAAGGAUUCAAUAUGUUUACCAGUGGUUAAUUAUUAAAGUUAUCAAGAAAUCUGUUACUCAGUACAGUGAUUUAUUAAGGAUUUGAAAGAGGCAAUACUAUCAUUUACUCAAAUUACAGAUAUUGAAGCUGAUCAUGACAUUGAAAGGAGACCCAUGAUAAUCAUGCAAAUUCAAAGGUUACUGGCACAAUAUGAUCUAUUUCUGCAGGGAAGAUUUGCAGAGUUAGCAGAUGAAAGUAAUGAUUUUAGUCACAGUAUCAAGAUCUUUUCAGUUAUGCAGUUAAUUGCAGUAGUUCAGGAAUAACAACUCCUGUGCAACUGUUUGAUAAUUCUGUGCAUAUUUUUCCAGCGUAAGACAAUGCUAUAACUUUAAUAACUGCACAAUGGGAAUUUUUUCAAAAAGCAAACAUUGUGUGCAGGCAGACAAAGGUUUAAGAUCCCAGCACACGUGGGUCAAAUCAUAAGUGAUUUAUAGUAUGAUGUUUUUAUGAUUAUGGGUUUGAAAAAGCAAAUGUUUAAGCAUCUAUACAUGCUGUUUUGCAAAGUCAAAGGUGAAACUGCUGUUUUGAGCAAACAGCUGCUAACAUUCUCUGCUCUAGCAGAGGGCCAGAUCUAUGGUACAUCUAUAUCCUGAACAAGCAGGUGAUAUUGCUUAUCAAUGCAAACUGUGGGGGAUUAAUUUCACCCCUGAUAGAUAUCCACUGUAUAUUCUGGAGCAAAAGGUGCAUUUCAGCAUGCUCCUGGCACAAAGGCUGAACUGUGAAAAGUGAUGGGAGAUACUUACUCUCCUGGUUUAGGGUUCAAGCUCAAACGAAGAAGUGAGCAAAGUGAUUACAGAUUCUAUAAAUAUCUGUGCACUACUGUCUACUCCACACAGCUUGGAAUAGCAGGGCUUUUAACAGCAAUGCAAGGGCUAAAUUGCAUAGCUCAUGGCUUACAUGCAAGCUAUGGUAAAUAGAGCUCAAAGGAAUUCAUGAGCCCCAAGGUUCAUAACUGAAGGGAUAUCUGUUCUGUCACUUUCUAACUCUCUGAGACCCAAUGAGGCUUUCAUUUGGGGUCGAGGUCUUGUUUGUAUGUUCACAGAUAAUGAAAACAUCUGGUCACCCACGUCAUGCUUCAUGCCAGCUGAUACAGACCAGGAAGAGAAGCAGACGGACCCUGUUGGCAUCAGCUAUCUGCAUGCCAGCCACAAUCCAGGCACACUGGAGGGACACUUCUCUGGUGACUAAUAUCACUCCAGAAUGAUGACAUUACACUAUUAGAGACAUUUGCUAUUAGACCACUGAUGGACACUUGUCAUGCUGACAUCCAUUGAGAUGUGGUACCCGGAGCAACAUCGAGUAUGCUAACUCAGAAGGACUAAAUCACACUUGUGUCUGUACAAGACACCAGAUAUGUCCCACACUCCAAAGACUUUACUAUGGGAUUGAGAUGAAAUAGCUACAAUUGUUUAGCUACUAAAGUAUACCUUGUAUUUUAUAUAUGAUACUGUCAAAAGGAAUGUAUACUGUAUGCAUUGUGAAUCUACCACUUGUAUUGUAAGAAAUGCUGUUAUCCAACAAGGGUACAGACCUUGGUAUGACUCUCCAAAGAGUAGGAGACAGACAACUUUCAUUCAUAGCAUAGAUCUGAUGCCUCUGACAACACAAAUGAGGUGCAAGGCAGAAAAUGCUGCUCACUCAUGGUUAAUGGACAGAUGACACUGAUGUUACUCUCAAGAAAGGAUGAGAGAUCAGGGAAAAGACACUAGGAAAUCUUUAAUCAGGAACCUGAGUUAUUGUAAAAGAUCAUUGACAUCCAGGCAAAGGUUAUGUUCCUGACAAUACCAGGAUGGACAUUACAUACUGACUACCAGAGAUGUAGUUAAGUGUUCAUACCAUCGUUAACCAUUACUCCUGAUACCCUGUCUUUGUGGGUAAAAUCUUAAUAGGAAAAAUUUCUUGCUCUCUCCCAACAGUCCCAGAAUUCAGACGGCCGCUGGAUUCGGGGUUUAUUGGCUUCCCUUUCAUAUACUGGAAGACAUUCUGGUAUAUGGAAGUAAGACCUCAGGAGCAAACUGAGGACUCUAGGUUUGACAAUUUCUGUGGACGCGCAGUCAUUGUCUCUCCUAGGUGGAAAAAAUUAUUAUUGCACAAAAACAUGGAGCAAGGGCAAAGUAUAAUCUAAGUUUUACUGUUUUGGAGUAUGGAUGGAAAACAUGACACGAUAGGCACAGAUAAGCUUGUAGAAAAAGCACAUUGGAUAUUAUACACUGACAACUAGGAAUGAAAAAGCUAUGUCAAAUUCUAUAGGUACAAGAAACUGUAGAAAUUGUUUCUACGUGAACAACAACUUAAGCUUCUAUUUACCCAAACAUUGGUUUGGUGGAAUGAAUUUUGCAAUAUUGGUAAUGGUAUAUGCUUGGUUAUCAUAUUGAUGGGUUUAUUUGUACAAGCAGAGAUUUAAAUAAGGAUGACACAAGGAAUAUGCAGUCAGAACUUGAAAUAUUACUUCAUUAUCACCAUCAUGGUUAUUUAAGCUACAAAUCAGAAUGUAAAGUGUAUGGGAAUAUUGGUAUUUGUUAAAAAUUGCACAGUGAUGUAUUAAUGUUUUUGCAAGGCCUGUAACGGUGCAAAAUUAUGUUCAUAUACAAGGCGAAUUUUGAUCUAUUUAGAUCAGGAAUUAGGAAUCAUUUGGGAUAUAAGUUCUGAUAUUUCACAUUGGCUCAGUUUCAAAGAUACCACAUAGACAGUGAGCCAAGAGUCUAGAAUUUUGUAUUAAUUUUGGGAUCAGGUUGCCAGGAUCAUUUUCUAAGAUCAUUUGGCAUGUGAUAACAUGGUCCUCCAGAAUUGUUCAGAGAGGAUGUCUUUCUUUGAAGGGAUCUCUCCCAACACACAAACAAAAAGAAAAGGGAGAAGAAUCUUAUAGAGAUCAGUAUGUUCAUUUUAGAGAACACUUUUGAUUCAUUUUCAAGUAUUCAACUUUGAUUUUUUCUUUUGCUCUAUUAUUGCCAGAACUUUGAGUACAAGGAAAGUACUGUUAAUGCUCUGAUCCAGAAUUAUGAAGGUGCAAAGAUUUCUAUAAUUGCAGUCACCUAACAGUCGGUAAACAUGAGAACAUGACAGCAAUUGUUAAUUUUCAGAUGACCAUUCUGGAGAGUGAUGUCUGAUUGCAUGUAAGGGGAAUCAUAAUGAAGCUUUCAUUAUGGACCAGACAGCCUCAGCCACGAUUAGACACUUUCCAUGUGAAAUGGAUGUUUGAGGUUGGGAAAUGCAGAGACAUGGCGUACUGACACCCUCAGUCGCUGGAUGUUCUGGCAUUGGGCUACCAACCAGUUUCCUAGGUGGCAGGCAUCUGGCAGUGAGCACGGAUAGAUCCCUAAGAUGCAGUAUCAGUAUGAGAGAAAGGAAGGACUUAUCCUUCAUCUCCAGAGAUAGGAUUUUACUAACUGUUGAAAAGGCGGACAACUUCUGAUAGUCCAGACUGUGAAAGGUGGCGUGUUUGAUUAUUGCACCCGUCAUGUGAGCCAUAGAAUUCUACCUCAUUAAACCAGGAUCAGUAGCGUGGAAAUUAUUUUCUUAACAUUUUUAUAUUUACCAAGACUGUUGCAUUGAUCUUGAAAUGCAGACAGGCAGAUAGAAAGAUCAGUUUGGGAUUUUUAAGAUUGAUCACUGAAUCAGUUUAUGCUGAUGUCCACACUUGAUUGUUAUAUCUAGGUUAUACAAUCUGAUUUGGGUUUUCAUCUCUGUAUCAGAAUAUGAUUAUGCACCAGAGUGUUUGUAUUUGUUAAUGCUGUAAUGUUGUUACAUUUUGAUAUUGCACUAUUUAUUGUUAUGUCAAACAAAAAGGGGGAGAUGUAGCAGUCCACCCCUAGCUAUGGGCAAGGGGAACAGUUGGUAUGUACAGAUUGCCUUAGAAGAGAGCAUGCUCAGUCUUGAGCAUGCUCAGUAUUGCACAUGGCUGGGGAAGCUUCUGACCCUUGACCCCAGCUUCUCCCAGGUUAGGCGGGAACACGGGUUUCUUUGUGCUCACCUGAUUAAGAGAAACCACACCUAUACCUUGUCAUUAACCAAUGAGAAUCAUCCCUAUGUACUGUGUAUAUUUGCAUAUCAAAGACUAUAUUUAGCCCAGCAAGCUCCGCCUCUCUCUCUCUUUCAGGCUAGCUGAUGGCUGUCCUGGCAGGCAAGCUCCAUCUUUAAACCUUCUCUAUCUCUCUUUCAUCUCUCCGACCUGUGUGGUAUUAAAUGUGGAUCUCUGGACUGGUAAAAGCCUUUGGUCAAAGCUUGGCUGUGGCUUAUGGAAAAUUAAUAAAGACUCAUUCCUGCCACCUCAUAUCUCUAAUUUGACUCCAUCAUCCCCCUCGUGGCAUCUAAAACUUCUAUCCUGUCUCUGUCUUCCUACCUUAAAGCUUCUCUCCCUUCUGAGGAAGCUUUAGCCUUACUAGUGACAAAAGCUGUCAAUCUAGUAUUGGGAUGUCCAUUAACAAUUAUGUGCCCAUAUGAGGUAGAAGCAUUGUUGCUAAAGCAUAGAACACAGGCAUUCUUGGAUCAGAGAAUUACAAGAUGUGAAAUAACCUUGUUAAAUAGCGAAAACAUUACCUUAAAAUGUUGUACUACUCUUAACCCUGCCACCUUGCUUCCAGACUUACCAGCUUCAGGAGAACCAUUACACAAUUGUGAAACAUUAGUGUCCAUGGCAGAAAAGCCUCGAGAUAAUCUCUUGGACACUCCCUUAGACAAUGCAGAUCUGAUCUUAUUUACCAAUGGUUCCUCUUUUAUGAGGGAUGGCAUAUUCUACACUGGAACUGCCAUAGUCUCAGAAUUUGCCACUGAAUGGUCAGCUUCAUUAUCCCCCUAACAUUAGUGCUCAAGGAGCAGAACUCAUAGCUCUGAAGCAUGCUUGUAUAAUUGCCAAGGAUAAAAAGGCAACAAUUUAUACGGAUUCUAGAUAUGCUUUUGGCAUUUGUCAUUCAGUUGGAAUACUAUGGCUCCAAAGAGGAUUUUUAGCCUCAGCUGGAAAAUCUAUAGCUAAUGCAGAAAUUAUUAAUGAAGUUCUUUCUGCUCUACAACUUAUUGAAGCCCUAGCUAUAGUUCAUUGCUCUGCCCAUACAGGUGGCACUGACCCUGUCUCUAGAGGAAAUGAUCAAGCAGAUGCCGCUGCAAAGCUAGCAGCCAUAGAAGGGCCUGAAUUAAUUUUAACAUUAACAACCACUGAUUAUUUAAAUUUAUCACUUUCUUAUAAUGAAAAGGAAGUGGAAAAGUGGAAACAAAAAUCCAAAGCAAAACAGAUUAAUGUAGUAUGGGUGUCAUCUGAAGGAAAACCCCUGCUCCCUAGAAGUUUCUAUCACAAAAUUUGCCAAUCUAUUCAAAAUUGGUCACUUUGGUACCCAGGGCAUCGUGGACUCUGUUAAGAGAGUAUGGAUAGCCCCUGGUAUAACUACUAUAGCCUCUAAAGUGUGUUCAGCCAGCUCUACAUGUCAAGCAUAUAACCAACAUGCAUUUUGUGGAAAAGCCUUUGGUGGACGUCCUCUGGCUUACACACCUUUUGAACAUCUACAGAUAGAUUUCAUAACAAUGCCAAAGUCUGGUCGUUACAAAUUUUGUCUAGUCAUUGUAGAUCAACUAAGCAGAUGUCUGGAAGCAUUUCCUGUGACCCGAGCCACAGCAGAUUUUGUUGCUAAGAUACUUUUAAAAUAAAUUAUUCCUUGCUUUGGACUGCCAGCACAUAUUGAUUCAGAUAGAGGAAGUCAUUUUACUGAUUCUGUCCUAAAUCAGAUAUAUUCUUGCUUGGGGAUAACUCCCAAAUUCCAUGUUCCAUAUCAUCCCCAGAGCUCAGGCCAAGUUGAAAGGAUGAAUGUAAACCUUAAAAUUUCUUAGACUUAUGAAUGUUGGAAAUUUCCCAAUGGGGAAAUUUCAUACUUGAAAAUUUCCUACUGAUAGUAAGAACUCUAGUGGAAUGUUAAACUCCUUGGCAUGGGAGGAUCCUUCUCCUCCCUACUUAAGACUACUUUAGGACAGAAACCUUUUGCUAAACAAUGGAAAGGGCUUUGACCUAUGCUUAAGCAUAGAACAUGAAGUUCUUUGAGUCAUGAUUGAUUUUAGAAUUGAUACAAUAGAGAUACUUGGAAUGACAGAACCAGGUCUUGGAACUUACAAUCUCCACCCUACUCAGUCUAACAGGAUUUAGGAAGGGCUGCAGAAAAGAUCAAGAUUUAAUUAUUUGAGAAUAUGAACUUCAACAGACAUGUGCAAAUGGGUCAGACGUCUGGGCGGUCCUGGGUUAAGCGAGAGCCACCAUUGGCAUAGGGGAGACAUCGACAGUGAUUGGUAGAUGUGAGAACUGAGGGGAGGGAACUUAGAUUGUGGGCUUAAAGAUAGCGGGGUCUGGGACUCUGGAGGAGGUUUUGCUCAGAGGAGGUUGCUCUGAAGGAGGACUGAGGAGGUUGCUCUGAAGGAGGUCUGAAGGGAGGUUUUGCUCUGAAGGAGGUCUGAGAGGAGAGAGGUCCUGGAGGGAGAGCUCCUGGAGAGGUCUUGAAGGAGGCUGUGGAAGGAGAACUCAGGAGGAGUCAGGAGGAGAAUUCUCUGGAAACAUUUCUAGAAAGGAGGCUCUCUUGAAGGUGGAGCCUGAGGUCUGCAUGAGAAGCCUUACCUAGAGAGAUCUUGGGUGACUGAUAAAACCAACUGACUGAUUUAUUCAUUCUUAUUCCUUUCUUACUUUCUCUCUUUUUCUAUUGAUUAAUCAGUGUAUUAUAAAUUAAAUUUCUCCAUAAAACCCAGUUGGCUUGGGCAUAUUCAUAAAUUGGGAAUAUAUUCCCUGGCGACCAUCUUAUAUUUAUAUAAAACCAAGACACAGUAGAAAACAUAUUUCAGUGGUCAUAAUUGUUAUAUAUUUCCCUUGCUCCCAAACAUUUUAAUUAUCACAGUUUAUGGCUCCCACUCUCUUAUCUAUAACUAUUUAACGCUCAAAACUAUUUUAAAUCUAACAUGAACAAAGAACUUAAAACUAUGAUUGGCAAAUUAUGCACUGAGACCCAUUUAAAAUGGCCUGAAAUUCUCCCUCUGGCCCUAUUUUAUCUUAGAAGCAGGCCUAGAGGAGACCUACACAUCUCACCAUGUGAGAUGCUUUUUGGACAUCCGCCUAUAAAGGCUAAACAUUUUUCCCGGCAUAUACCUCACUAUUAGGGAGAGAUACUACUAUUGUUUCCUAUAUACAGGAAUUACAGCACAAACUGCGUGAACUUCAUGAAUCUGGAACUGCAGUACAAGCUGGACCACUUGACUUUUCUCUUCACGACCUGAACCCAGGAGACAAAGUGUAUAUUAAGAAUUUCAAGUGUACUGGAGCAACUCAGCCUUCAUGGGAAGGACCAUUCCAAAUAUUGCUAACUACUCCAACAUCUAUAAAGGUUGGAGAGAAGGACUCUUGGAUUCAUUGCCCACAUGUGAAGAAAGCAUCUUCUGUUGAGACUGAUUGACUGUACCCUAUCAUAUGCACUGGAGAUAAUAAUCCAUUGACAAGUGAAUGCUGUUUUUCAAAGAAACAUUGAAUUACUGAUUUUUUUCCUUAUUUUUCUUAUUGCUUUUCUUUCUUUUGAUUAGAAUAUUUGAUGUUUUCCUUUUUUCUCAUUUCUUAUACUAAAGGUACAUAUAA